rnacentral:rRNA from 1 species
GAGUUUGAUCCUGGCUCAGGACGAACGCUUGCGGCGUGCCUAAGAAAUGCAAGUCGAGCGAGCUUAGGGCUUCGGCCCGAAAGCUAGCGGCGAACGGUCGAGUAACACGUGAGCAACCUGCCCCAGAGUGGGGGAUAGCCCACCGAAAGGUGGAUUAAUACCGCAUGUGGUCCCCGCCGGGCAUCCGGAGGGGAUUAAAGCAGCAAUGCGCUCUGGGAUGGGCUCGCGGCCUAUCAGCUUGUUGGUGGGGUAACGGCCUACCAAGGCUACGACGGGUAGCUGGUCUGAGAGGAUGGUCAGCCGGAUUGGGACUGAGACACGGCCCAGACUCCUACGGGGGGCAGCAAUUAGGAAUCUUGCGCAAUGGGCGAAAGCCUGACGCAGCGACGCCGCGUGACCGAUGAAGUCCUUCGGGAUGUAAAGGUCUUUUGCCAGGGAAGAAGAACGUGACGGUACCUGGCGAAUAAGCCCCGGCUAACUACGUGCCAGCAGCCGCGGUAAGACGUAGGGGGCGAGCGUUGUCCGAAGUUACUGGGCGUAAAGCGCGCGUAGGCGGCCUCUUAAGUUGGGUGUGAAAUCCUGCGGCCCAACCGCAGAACUGCAUCCAAAACUGGGAGGCUUGAGGACGGAAGAGGGCAGUGGAAUUCCUGGUGUAGCGGUGAAAUGCGUAGAUAUCAGGAGGAACACCCGUGGCGAANGCGGCUGCCUGGUCCGUAUCUGACGCUGAGGUGCGAAAGCCAGGGGAGCGAACGGGAUUAGAUACCCCGGUAGUCCUGGCCCUAAACGAUGGAUACUAGGUGUUAGUGGUAUCGACCCCACUAGUGCCGUAGCUAACGCAUUAAGUAUCCCGCCUGGGGGGUACGGCCGCAAGGUUGAAACUCAAAGGAAUUGA